UGGGAAGAUAUUGCGCAAUGGGCGAAAGCCUGACGCAGCGACGCCGCGUGAGGGAUGAAGGUCUUCGGGUUGUAAACUUCUGUCGUACGGGACGAUAAUGACGGUACCGUACAAGAAAGCCACGGCUAACUACGUGCCAGCAGCCGCGGUAAAACGUAGGUGGCAAGCGUUGUCCGCAAUUACUGGGUGUAAAGGGAGCGCAGGCGGACUAGCAAGUUGGAAGUGAAAUCUAUGGGCUCAACCCAUAAAUUAGCUUUCAAAACUGCCGGUCUUGAGUAGUGCAGAGGUAGGCGGAAUUCCCGGUGUAGCGGUGGAAUGCGUAGAUAUCGGGAGGAACACCAGUGGCGAAGGCGGCCUACUGGGCACCAACUGACGCUGAGGCUCGAAAGUAUGGGUAGCAAACAGGAUUAGAUACC
rnacentral:rRNA from 1 species